AUACGGAGGGUGCAAGCGUUACUCGGAAUCACUGGGCGUAAAGGACGCGUAGGCGGGAUGCCAAGUCUGAUGUGAAAUCCUAUGGCUCAACCAUAGAACUGCAUUGGAAACUGGUAACCUAGAGUAUGGGAGGGGGAGAUGGAAUUAGUGGUGUAGGGGUAAAAUCCGUAGAUAUCACUAGGAAUACCUAAAGCGAAGGCGAUCUCCUGGAACAAUACUGACGCUAAGGCGUGAAAGCGUGGGUAGCAAACGGGAUUAGAAACCCUAGUAGUCC
rnacentral:rRNA from 1 species